UUUAGAAGGAGAAGAAUGUAAGACCCUCCCAGAUAACUCAGGAUGGAUGUGCGCAACUGGCAAUAAGAUAAAGACCACAAGAAUUCACCCGAGAUCCUAAUCUUUUUGGCGGUUGUCAUAUGAACCCGAAGAGGCCAUAUGAAAACUUUAUUUAAAAACAAUAAAAAGCUUAUUAAGGAUUUACAAGCCAAAUGGAUAUUUUACUUGCACUUUUGACUUUAUACGGACAAACUAUUUGGGGUUUCACUAUGUGAAAUAGAUUUCACCUUGGAGAGCAACAACAAAAAAAAAAUCUAUACUUGACUUUGCCAACAACUUGGGCUGGAAACGUUCAACCAUUUUGUGUUGAAACAUCAAAAUUUGGCCGACUGGAUUACAGUUUUAUAUAAUAUACAACAUGUAAAUAUAUAUAAAUAUAUAUCUAACUGGAAAUUCAACUAAAAAAGUAAAACUACUGUUUCCUUCGUCUUUCUUGGACCAAUAUCAUAUUUCUAUCGCUAAGGAAAACUGCCUGGAUAAGGGUCAUAUUUUCCAUCAAGCCCUGAGAAUCUUCAGCAUAUAUAGAAUCAAAAUCUUCCUUCGAUUCUUGAAGAACCUAAUGGUGAAAUACAUUAUUUUUUCUAAUGUGUACCAAGAGCUUUUUACCCAUGUGUGAUUAUAGCAUGCUGGCUUUGAUUAUGUAAAAUUUUUCUUAAAAAAAAAAAAAAAGUUGGCUUCCGCCUCUUUCUUUAAUUAUUUUUUACAAGAAGGUCAGCAGAAAUGGAUAUUAUCUCAAACAGGACCCAACGUCUUUCACAGUCGAAGGCAUGGGUUAACAUUAUAUUUGUAUUAUUACUGGUGUAUAUAGAAAGCCAACGGGAUUUGUAUAACCGGUGCUGUCUGCGGUCAACCCUAUUGGAUUCCAAUGUUUUGCACUUGCUUUUUCCUUCCAACGUAGACGUCUCAAUAAAUAUUAUUUUGCUUCAUUUUUUUUAA